rnacentral:misc_RNA from 1 species
AUCCUCCUCUCCAAACACAAUCUGUUCCCUCGUCCCCCUAAAAAACACCGCAAACUUCCCAUCCUCACGCUCCUCAGUAAUGGCCCCUUACCACCAUCCAUCAUUAUAGUACGCAUCAACCUGCUCACCGAACUUAAACUUCCUAUGUUUCUCCCUUGGGGCCACAGGCCUCAACUGUACUAAAUCAAAAAUCUCCCUUAAAGGUUUCUUGCCAGCUUCGUCAUUAAAUAGUUUUUCGUACUGGACUAAGUAUUUACUGGGCUUCUUACUGGAGGCACGGCGGAUGACCGUGCCCACAUACCAGGAGCCCAGAAAUCCGUCGUCGUCAGAGCUAAUCUCGACGAUGGAGCCAGGCUUG